UACGUAGGGGGCAAGCGUUGUCCGGAAUCAUUGGGCGUAAAGAGCGUGUAGGCGGCCAGAUAAGUCCGCUGUGAAAACUCGAGGCUCAACUUCGAGCUGUCGGCGGAAACUAUCUGGCUAGAGUCCGGAAGAGGAGAGUGGAAUUCCUGGUGUAGCGGUGAAAUGCUUAGAUAUCGUCAAGAACACCAAUAGUGUAGACAGCUUACUAGCUUAACUGACGCUGAGGCACGAAGGCCAGGGGAGCAAACGGG
rnacentral:rRNA from 1 species